rnacentral:rRNA from 1 species
AUACGUAGGGGGCGAGCGUUGUCCGGAAUGAUUGGGCGUAAAGGGCGCGUAGGCGGCGCGGUAAGUCUGGAGUGAAAGUCCUGCUUUCAAGGUGGGAAUUGCUUUGGAUACUGCCGAGCUUGAGUGCAGGAGAGGUUAGCGGAAUUCCCGGUGUAGCGGUGAAAUGCAUAGAGAUCGGGAGGAACACCAGUGGCGAAGGCGGGUAACUGGACUGCAACUGACGCUGAGGCGCGAAAGUGUGGGGAGCAAACAGGAUUAGAUACCCUGGUAGUCCACACUGUAAACGAUGAAUGCUAGGUGUAAGAGGUAUCGACCCCUUUUGUGCCGGAGUCAACACAAUAAGCAUUCCGCCUGGGGAGUACGGCCGCAAGGUUGAAACUCAAAGGAAUUGACGGGG